UUCAGGCUUUUCAUCGACACGUACCUAUCUUGAUACGAGAAUUAGGUUCAUCUUAUAAGGAACUGCUCCAUAUAAUAUCUGACCCUCCUAAGGGAAGUGAAAAUUUAUUGACAUUGGUGUUGCAAAUAUUGACACAAGAAGUGGCACCUUCGUCGGAUUUGAUUGCUACCGUAAAGCAUCUAUAUGAAACUAAGCUAAAGGAUGUUUCAAUUCUUAUUCCGUUGCUUUCUUCACUCACUAAAGACGAGGU